UGGGGAAUUUUGGACAAUGGGCGAAAGCCUGAUCCAGCAAUGCCGCGUGUGUGAAGAAGGCCUUCGGGUUGUAAAGCACUUUUGUCCGGAAAGAAAUCCUUGGCUCUAAUACAGUCGGGGGAUGACGGUACCGGAAGAAUAAGCACCGGCUAACUACGUGCCAGCAGCCGCGGUAAUACGUAGGGUGCAAGCGUUAAUCGGAAUUACUGGGCGUAAAGCGUGCGCAGGCGGUUUGCUAAGACCGAUGUGAAAUCCCCGGGCUCAACCUGGGGAACUGCAUUGGUGACUGGCAGGCUAGAGUAUGGCAGAGGGGGGUAGAAUUCCACGUGUAGCAGUGAAAUGCGUAGAGAUGUGGAGGAAUACCGAUGGCGAAGGCAGCCCCCUGGGCCAAUACUGACGCUCAUGCACGAAAGCGUGGGGAGCAAACAGGAUUAGAUACCCUGGUAGUCCACGCCCUAAACGAUGUCAACUAGUUGUUGGGGAUUCAUUUCCUUAGUAACGUAGCUAACGCGUGAAGUUGACCGCCUGGGGAGUACGGUCGCAAGAUUAAAACUCAAAGGAAUUGACGGGGUCAUAGCUGUUUCCU
rnacentral:rRNA from 1 species